rnacentral:rRNA from 1 species
AGAGUUUGAUCCCGGCUCAGAAUCAACGCUGGCGGCGCGCUUAACACAUGCAAGUCGAACGAGAAAGGGGAGCAAUCCCUGAGUACAGUGGCGUACGGGUGAGUAACACGUGGAUAAUCCACCUCUUAGUGGGGAAUACCUCUGGGAAACCGGAGACAAUACCGCAUAAGCUCGCGAGAGGAAAGCAGCAAUGCGCUGAGAGAGGAGUCCGCGGCCGAUUAGCUAGUUGGCAGGGUAAAAGCCUACCAAGGCGAAGAUCGGUAGCCGGCCUGAGAGGGCACACGGCCACACUGGCACUGAAACACGGGCCAGACUCCUACGGGAGGCAGCAGUGGGGAAUCUUGCGCAAUGGGGGAAACCCUGACGCAGCGACGCCGCGUGAGUGAUGAAGGCCUUCGGGUCGUAAAGCUCUGUCGUAUGGGACUAACACAAUGAAGGUACCAUGCAAGAAAGGAUCGGCUAACUUCGUGCCAGCAGCCGCGGUAAGACGAAGGAUCCAAGCGUUAUCCGGAUUCAUUGGGUUUAAAGGGAGCGUAGGCGGACUUAUAAGUCAGUGGUGAAAGCCGAUAGCUUAACUAUCGAAUUGCCAUUGAUACUGUAGGUCUAGAGUACAGAUGACGUUGGCGGAAUAUGACAUGUAGCGGUGAAAUGCAUAGAUAUGUCAUAGAACACCGAUUGCGAAGGCAGCUGACAAAACUGUAACUGACGCUGAGGCUCGAAAGUGCGGGGAUCAAACAGGAUUAGAUACCCUGGUAGUCCGCACUGUAAACGAUGAUCACUCGUUGUUGGCGAUAUACAGUCAGCGACUAAGCGAAAGCAUUAAGUAAUCCACCUGGGGAGUACGACCGCAAGGUUGAAACUCAAAGGAAUUGACGGGGGCC